UACGUAGGUGUCAAGCGUUAUCCGGAAUUACUGGGCGUAAAGGGCACGCAGGCGGCUUGGGAAGUCCGACGUGAAAGCUCCCGGCUUAACUGGGAGAGGUCGUUGGAAACUCUUGGGCUUGAGAGGGUGAGAGGGAGGCGGAAUUCCCGGUGUAGUGGUGGAAUGCGUAGAUAUCGGGAAGAACACCAGUGGCGAAAGCGGCCUCCUGGCACUCGUCUGACGCUGAGGUGCGAAAGCGUGGGGAGCGAACGGGAUUAGAUACCCCAGUAGUCC
rnacentral:rRNA from 1 species